rnacentral:rRNA from 1 species
AUGGCUCAGGACGAACGCUGGCGGCGUGCCUAACACGAUGCAAGUCGAGCGAGGAGAUCCUCGGGAUGAUCCUAGCGGCGGACGGGUGAGUAACACGUGGGCAACCUGCCUCAUAGAGAGGAAUAGCCUUCCGAAAGGGAGAUUAAUACCUCAUAACAUUGCAGUUUCGCAUGGAACAGCAAUUAAAGGAGCAAUCCGCUAUGAGAUGGGCCCGCGGCGCAUUAGCUAGUUGGUGAGGUAACGGCUCACCAAGGCGACGAUGCGUAGCCGACCUGAGAGGGUGAUCGGCCACAUUGGGACUGAGACACGGCCCAGACUCCUACGGGAGGCAGCAGUGGGGAAUAUUGCACAAUGGGGGAAACCCUGAUGCAAGCAACGCCGCGUGAGUGAUGACGGCCUUCGGGUUGUAAAGCUCUGUCUUCAGGGACGAUAAUGACGGUACCUGAGGAGGAAGCCACGGCUAACUACGUGCCAGCCGCAGC